rnacentral:pre_miRNA from 1 species
ACGCGUUUAUGUCUGCGCCUGUUGUAAAGUUGGAUACAGGUACAGAUGUGAACACGAGA